AACCCCAUUACCUUCAAGUAAUAGUGCCGGCACUCCCAAGAUCAUGGUUGCAAAAGGUGCCAUGUAGUACACAGUAUUUAUGCUAUAAGAGUACGGUCCAAAAUAUGUUGUCGAGCAAUGUCAGAAAACUCGUGAAUUCAGAACUUGAGAAAC